rnacentral:rRNA from 1 species
AUGCCAAAAGAAGAAAAUGCUCUCCGUCUUGAAGACUACCGCCCUAUCAGCCUCACACAUAGCAUUGCGAAGAUUCUUGGGAAACUGCUUGCUCGCCGCCUCACUCCAGAGAUGCAUCGCUUGAUUUCUGUCAGCCAAAGUGCUUUCCUGAAGGGAAGAUCCAUUCAAGACAAUUUCAUCUAUGUCCAGAACCUCAUUCAGAGCCUGCAUCGAGCGAAAAAAAGAUCAAGUUUCUUCAAGCUUGAUAUUGCGAAAGCUUUUGACUCAGUAAGAUGGGAUUGCCUCCUUGAUGUCCUUAAGCACGUGGGUUUCUCUUAG